rnacentral:rRNA from 1 species
GAUGAACGCUGGCGGCGUGCCUAAUACAUGCAAGUCGAGCGAACAGACGAGGAGCUUGCUCCUUUGACGUUAGCGGCGGACGGGUGAGUAACACGUGGGUAACCUACCUAUAAGACUGGGAUAACUUCGGGAAACCGGAGCUAAUACCGGAUAAUAUUUCGAACCGCAUGGUUCGAUAGUGAAAGAUGGCUCUGCUAUCACUUAUAGAUGGACCUGCGCCGUAUUAGCUAGUUGGUAAGGUAACGGCUUACCAAGGCAACGAUACGUAGCCGACCUGAGAGGGUGAUCGGCCACACUGGAACUGAGACACGGUCCAG